CUGGAGCUCUGUGGAGAGGAGGAAUCCUCCCACUGCUCUCUGACUCAACACUCGGUUAAGUACACCAGAGUUCACAGAGAGUUCUAGAGCUGGAUCAGGAGUACAGGCUCCAGUAGAUGGUGUUAAAGAGCAGACCGGCGCCGCCGAAGGCGAGUCCCCUCCAUGGGGCGCAUGUCGGGGGUUUGGCUGGGGGUGGUGAGAGGGUCGGAGGUCAUGGUGGGUGUCAGCUUGGGGAACGGAGCCAGCUCAAUUUCAUCAUCGUGGAAGCAGCCGUCGAAGGCCAUGGCCUGGGCGGCGUUGAAGGUGGAUGGGAUCUGAAAACGCAAAGAACAAGGACUGAGACAGCGGGCAUCUGCUCUCUAUCAGAUGAAGAUGCUCUUUUUGAUUCACAUGGGUCUAUGAGAACAGCCAAACAAAUCAGGUUUCAGGUCAGAACCCCAAUAAGCUGAGUACAUAAAAACAAAUGUAGAAUAAAAGACUGUCACAUCUGAGUAGUGUCGGCUAAGGCAGUGCUAAUAUGCUAACAUGCAGAUCUGGUGGUGGUGAUGUCUUUCUGUGGCCACUAGAGUGAGACAGAAAGUAAAGCUUAAGUGUCUGCUGCGCCAUCGCUCCUCUCACUGCCUCCCUCUUCUACUAAUCCCCUCUGUCCCCUGCGCUGACCUUCCCUCCCCUCAUCUUCCUCAUCUCCUCCAGCGUGGUGCAGUAGUUCACCGCCGCGUAUUCGAUCACAGACAGAAACACAAACAGGAAGCUGGUCCACAGGUAGAUGUCGACCGCUUUCACAUAUGACACCUGGAGAAAAGAGACAAACACGUUCAAAGGCUUUCAGUUUUACUGAACAGAUGAGCUUAAAUCUUAAAAUAUGAUCAGAGUUAUAACGUAUUUGUACCAAUAUGAAAAUUUAAAAAAGUCAAUACAUUUAAAUCUGUUCAACCGUAGAACCAAAUGUGUAAUUGAUUGUAACUACAGCUGAAUCAGUUGAAACACAUGUAAAUGUUUAACUGACACAGCUUAGAGAUGAACUAAAGGUGAUGGCCGCUGUCUAAUCUGUGUUACCUGAGGCAUAGAGGAGGACACCCCUGUGAUGAUGGUGGACAUGGUGAGCACUGUGGUCAUACCUGCAGGAGGAGAAAACAGCCGAGUGAGUUUCUGGUUAGUGGACAUUUGUGUUAUUUGUUGUUACGGUGGAGCUGGGGUGCGUUACCCAGAGAGACCCGGGCGGGAACGGCCCGCCUGUCGAUCCAGAAGGAGACCCAGGACAGGACGACCAUCAGCAUGGUGGGAAAGUAGGUCUGCAGCAUGAAGAAGAAGAUGUGCCUCCGCAGGAUGAAGUUGAUGAAGAGACGAUUGUACCAACCUGACGCAAACACACAGAGUGUGAAGCUCAAACGGGCCAAGGAACAGUCAAACAGGAAACAGCUGGUGAAACACUGGUGCUUUGGUUGAAGGCAGAUCAGCUAGAUGACGUGACUUCAUGGUCAUGGUCUGUGGUACAAACCCACAGAAACUGUUUGUUUUGACUCCUGGGACCCACUUCACCCACACGCUGGUGAUCAAAGGUUCAAGCCACAUUACAUUGUUUACUGUAACCUUCGCUGACAUGUUUGCAAAACUAGUUGAAGGCUGCAGGCGCCGCAGUGGACGCGAGCAGAACCGGGUUCCAGACGCCCUGCACUCACCUGUGCUGCUGUAGAACGCCAGGCCACUGGAGGCGUGGAUGUUCUCAAUGAAGAACUGGGACAAGACGAUCUCAUCGAUCCUCAGAGAGUCGUUCCCCUUCUUCCAGUAAAGCAUCAGGUCGUUCUCAUUGUAGGCGUCUGCGGACACGAGGAAGAUGAGGUUACUGUCCGAGCAUCUCCUUCUGUUGUGUUACAGCAGUGUCAGUGCUGGGCGCUCACAGCUCUCCAGCUCCAGGGAGCAGUUCUGCGUGUCCAGAGGGAAGCUGCUGAAGUCCAUCGAGCACAGAGCCGUGACGGUGACCCUGAAACAUCACACAGUCCAGCUUUUAUCCUCCCUCCCGUUGCCAUGGAAACCAGAGCGAAACACCUCUCUGCGAGCUGCUUCCUACCUGACGCUGUAGAGGAUGUUCCCGUCGGGGUAAACCCGCAGCAUGAUGUUCUCUGUGGUGGUGUCGUGGAUGAAGGAGCGCUUGGAGUGGACGAAGAAGACGUCGGGGACCCAGAUCUUCUUCACCAGGCGAGAGUCAAACGUCCUGCUGAGGUUGGUGCGAGAAGGAAACGACAGCCGCUCGUCUUUCCAGUAGUGACGCAGGUACAGAGUCAUGGUGAAGUCCUGGGCAAGUAAGGGAGGAAGAGGAGGCUUGUUCAUGGGUUCACAGGAUGCAACGCUUGGAACAUAAGAGUGGUCAUAGAUGCUAGAAGUCUGGUCCAGACAUUAGCGGGACCACCUCAUAGAAUUCUAAUACACUGCUUUAAUCCCAGCUGGGGGAAACACCAGCAGCUCCAAGGCCACAGCUGGUUGUCAGCUGGAUGUUUAACCAUGAGUCCGAGCCACAGCACAGACUGACACUCACUCACUCCAACACACAGCAGCUUGGAAUGAAAGUCACUGAAGCUGAGUUUGUGAUGGGACCGUUCCAGUGUUUAGUGGAUGGGAAGGAUGUUUGCAGACGCUGGACGGGAGAAACACUGGUGCAGUUCAUCACAGUGAACAGACCACACACACGAGUCCCUCUGAAGGAAUUAAAACACGCACAGCGAGCGUGAGGCAGCGAGAGCUCCGAGUUUCAGAUCAUCCUCAGGACGCCACAGUUUGACGCAGGCAUGAAACACAACAGGCAGGAAAUGGUUUCUCACCAUGUUGACCUCAGAGAUGCUGUCGAUGCUCUCCACCUGCACGUCGAUGCCCACGGGGAUCGCUCCACCUCAACAAACACAACAACAGGCGUUUUAAAAUCAAGUUGGACUCAAGUUGGACUAAUGAAGCACAAUCAAACAGACUGGAGACAUGUGAUACAGUGUGAAGGGAUGAGUCUGAACAUCGGUGUCACUCAGCUCCAACAGCGUCAACAUGUGACUGCGCCUUGUUAGCAGAUUAAGCUCAACCUAACGAAUGGUUCAAAUCCUCCUCACUCACAACCAGCCUCCAUCAGUGAGCCUCCGCAAAGCGACCGACCUGAAGCUUUCACGACGUGCGUCUGACCCCUAACUAACUUUAGCCAUGUUUGCUUUCUGGGCUAAUUUAGGAGCCGACAGACUACAAUCUGAACCGCAGCCAUCAGACGGUCCCACUAGGAGAAAGGAGCACGCAUUCUCACACACUGUGGGUUAGGGCGACCUCAGCCUCAGCGGACAACAUUCCUGGAGGAAAGGAAAGUACUCCCAAGUGUGUGCGUCUGUGUGUGACCCUGGAUGUGGAUGCAGCAGCUCAGUGAACACUUCACCUAAUGAAGUUCACAGCCAUAAAGCUUCUGGAGCAGCAGCUUCAGCGUAGCCCAGGAAACAGAAUGUCAGAGGUUCUGAUGAACUGGUCCUUGUUCAGCAAAUCUUCAGAAGCAGCUCCUGACGUAACAUUUCAUCUAAUAAAGCUCUAAUAGAAUCCAGUCUUCUGGGUUUGCUGAUCCUGAUCCUCAGUGAAGUGCCUCAGGUGGUGUCUCUGCCAUGUGAGGCAGUGUAAUUAGUGGAUAUUUAUGUGACUGACAGCGCAAAUGUGUGUUUGCUUGUUACCACAAUUCUCUGUCUCCGCAGGAAUUUCUAAAGCGAAGCGCGUGUGCCUGAGUGGAGCAUAAACACGAGGCCACUUUGCUCGUUCGAGGUUUUAUGUUGCAUGUUUAGUGGGGCUCAUCGUCGGAUCCAGCUUUGGACACCGUCGGCUGAACGGGUCCUUUAAUCCCUGAACACAAGGCUGCAGAUGGAUCAAUUCAUGCAGGCAUAAGCAGCAUAAUGCAGCUUUAAGGUCACCGGAUGUUUCCAUCCCGCCUCCAUCGCCACGCCGACUGUUGUGCAUCUACAUCACCACUAAUCAACAGAGGGGGAAGGUGAGAGGUGGAGAGGGAUUAAGAGGAGGUUCGCUGGGCGGCUUUUGGAGAACGUGCUCGUCAGAACACACACUGCUCCGUCCAGCCGUCCUAAUGGCUGACGGUUGGCACUGGAAACUCCUGCUUUCAGCGUUCUACUGACGGCGGCGACCUCCAAGUCUGCUGAUUCCUGCUCGCUGCAGAAGGAUGGAGCUUAGAGUGGGAUUUUUCCCUCCGUCAUCUGGUGUUGUGCUCUCACUCAGCUGGGUUUGUGGCUGAAAAAACAACGGAGCCAAUCAGAGCUUUGUGUGCGGGAUUAACCAGGGCGAAGUCACCGCGCGGAGCCAGAACCAAAGAAACCAGCACGGGCUGAGUCCAGUUAAAGGAGGAAGCCUCAUUCCAUGCUGUAACCAUGCUCCCAUCGAACCCCAAGCUAACAAUGUGCGUUAACUCAUGAGGUUUAUUCAUACGACGGGACUCUGGACUCACUCACCUGAAUUUAUGACUCUGUUAUUGUCAGACUGCAUAUUUGCAGUCACAUUACAUCAGUGAGCCAUCUGAAUUAAUUCAUUGCAACAGUAAGUCUGUGAAUCCUCAAGUCUAAAAGCAUUUCCAGCGUGGGAGCGCUGCUUCAUUAGCCGGCGUUACGAGCAUCCGGCAUCACAGCGCGUCACUACGAAGGCCAGAUGUGAAGUUUACAGACAACUUUUAACUUUAUAGAUGUUCUUUAAAUGUGUUCUCCUGGGAGACGGAGUAUUUCUAGACUCUGGUCCAGGGAGGGAGGAGGAGGGGAAUAGUUUUGAUUCUUUGGCUUCGUGGCCAAAGCAGCAGCCAUAGGUUUAUCUCCCAACAAGCUGAGAUUUCCCUGAGUAGAAUUACAGUGGCUGGAAAGGCCACAGAAGCAUGUGGCCCAGCGGAGCUUCUGUGCCCACCCUGAAACACCGGCCGGACCACAGAGACGCCAGGCAGCGGCCUCUCAGGCUGAGGAGAGGGUGGGACACAAGACUGGACCCAAGAAUGAGCACCACCGGGUUGAUGGACCACCCCUGGGUUCUGCUGCAGGUUCUCCUCUCUGCUGCCUCUUGGUGAUUUCUAAACACUAUUUAACCUACACUGUAGUUUACUGUGAAUUGACGCUAUAUAAAUAACCUCCGUCCCAUAGAGACGACUGGAUGUCUGAGGAUCUACGGCCCCGUCCAUUGUUCGAAAACGUGUUCACCUUUUAUAACAUGUCUUGUCAAGUAAACAGCUCUUAGGCUCAGACAGGCAACACGAACGCCUGCCGCUGUCAUUUUCCCUGUAAUCAUAUCCCAGCAGGCUGUGUUCAGACAGGCAUCAGCACGGAGCUGAAGCUCAUUCACUAAAUGGGCUCAUGGAUGGACCUAGGCAGGAGGCGAAGGUCCACAGCUACAGGAGGAACGCGCUGUGGUCUUGUUGCUCAGGCGGCUCAGACACGAGGCCGGAUGUGGGUUUUAAAUAUUUAACUCCAAUCAACCCAUUUUCCCACCAAAGUGCUUCAGUUGCAUAAUCUCCGGUCAAACUUUGUUCCUAAUCUGGUCGAAGGUCUUGAACUGUGCAGACCCAGCAUUCACCUGGACCUCUGCCUAAAACCAGCAAGGCCCAAACUGUAACAUAUGAAGAACGAGCAGCCGUCAGACACGUCUUUAAUGUAGAACUUCCCACCUUUUGUUGACGCAAAUGCACAGUUACUGUAUUUUAGACUUGUAUGUGGAUCCAUUUAAGAGCUUUUAGUUCACAUCACUUUAAUCCAGAGGAAGGCCUAUUAUGAAAGCCUGCAGCGCGGCAUCGUGUGCUCCCACGCAUGCAUUGUUGUGUGUUUGAUAGUGGUGAUCUUCAGCACAGACGUCAGUUUGUUUCCCACCCCUCCAUCUGCUCCAGACCUGCAGCAUAAUCCAGAUUAAUGCACACGAAUCCCCCCGACUCACACAGAACACACAAUGGACACACACACACAAACACACACACACGCACAAUUACAUCUGAGUGAGUGCUGUUUUUUCAAAUGCAUUAAUGCUUUCUCUCUGUCACACACCAAUGCAGCUGCACAAUGGUGUAAUCUGGGUCAGUGCUGGCGAUUGUGGACGCUCGUAUCUGUUGUGGAGUGACCCAGUGCCCAUCGCCACAUCCUCAAACCUGCAGCGGAUGAUGUGUGAGUGAGUGGAUUAAGUCAUGGGGAUCACAGAUGAAAUGAGGUGUGCGUCUGACCUCCG